GCCUCGGUGGCUCCGAGACGAGAGCGCCGGCCUACGGAUCCCCAGGUGGCGGGUUCGAAUCCCGACCGAGGUG
rfam:Ixodes scapularis strain Wikel colony gcontig_1108378459860, whole genome shotgun sequence.